rnacentral:rRNA from 1 species
CAAUUCCGGCUGAUCCUGCCGGAGACCACUGCUAUCUGGGUUCGGCUAAGCCAUGCAAGUCUUUGCCUCUCUGAGGCAAGGCGAAAAGCUCAGUAAAACAUAGUCAACCUGCCCUUGGGUCCGGGAUAAUCUCGCGAAAGUGAGGCUAAUACCGGAUAGGCAAGGAUGCCUGGAAUGGUUCCUUGCCCAAAGCUUCGGCGCCCAAGGAUGGGACUAUGUCGGAUUAGGUUGUUGUUGGGGUAACGGCCCAACAAGCCUAUAAUCCGUACGGGCCUUGAGAGAGGAAGCCCGGAGAUGGACUCUGAGACAACAGUCCAGGCCCUACGGGGCGCAGCAGGCGCGAAAACUUCCCAAAAACCCUUUUUACAGGAGCUAACGCUUCCUCAAAAAGCGUUUACGGAAAAAUAUGUAAAAAGGGUUGGGGAAUGCGCGCAAGCGUGAGGAGGGAACCCAGAGUGGUUGCCCUUUGGGGUAACCUUUUCUCGAGUGUAAAAAGCUCGAGGAAUAAGCGGUGGGUAAGACGGGUGCCAGCCGCCGCGGUAAUACCCGCGCCGCGAGUGGUGGUCACGAUUAUUGGGCUUAAAGCGUCCGUAGCCGGCUUGUAAAGUCCUUGGUGAAAUCCCAUAGAAAACUAUGGGGCUUGCCAAGGAUACUUACAAGCUUGGGACCGGGAGAGGGCAGCGGUACUCCAGGGGUAGGGGUAAAAUCCUGUAAUCCUUGGAGGACCACCUGUGGCGAAGGCGGCUGCCUGGAACGGAUCCGACGGUGAGGGACGAAAGCCAGGGGAGCGAACGGGAUUAGAUAGACCCUUUUUACAGGAGCUGAUGCCUCCUCAAAAAGCAUUAGCGGAAAAACAAGUAAAAAGGGUCCUGAAAACCCCGGUAGUCCUGGCCGUAAACGAUGCCCGCUAGACGUUGGCAGUCUUACGGGGGCUGCCAGUGUCGUAGCGAAAGCGUUAAGCGGGCCGCCUGGGGAGUACGGUCGCAAGGCUGAAACUUAAGGGAAUUGGCGGGGGAGCACACAAGGGGUGGAGGCUGCGGUUUAAUUGGACCCAACGCCGGGAACCUUACCAGGGGCGACAGCAGGAUGAAGGUCAGGCUGAAGACCUUACCAGACAAGCUGAGAAGUGGUGCAUGGCCGUCGUCAGCUCGUGCCGUGAGGUGUCCUGUUAAGUCAGGUAACGAGCGAGACCCACGCCCCAUGUUGCUACCCAAUUCGUUGGGGCACUCAUGGGGGACCGCUGGCGAUAAGCCAGAGGAAGGUGUGGUCGACGGCAGGUCCGUAUGCUCUGAAUCCCCUGGGUAACACGCGGCCUACAAUGCACGCUACAAUGGGUUGCGACCCCGAAAGGGGAAGCCAAUCCCUAAAAGCGUGCUCAGUUCGGAUCGAGGCUUGCAACUCAGCCUCGUGAAGCCGAAAUCCCUAGUAGUCGCUGUUUAGCAUACAGCGGCGAAUAAGUUCCUGCUCCUUGCACACACUGCCCGUCAAGCCAUCCGAGUGGACUUCUGGUGAGGUCCUAUCAUCUUGGUAGGAUCGAGCCAGAGGUCUGCAAGGAGGGCUAAGUCGUAACAAGGUAGCCGUACGGGAACGUGCGGCUGGAUCACCUCCUU